rnacentral:misc_RNA from 1 species
ACAACUGUCUAAAUAAGACUAAAUGACUAAAUAAGUCCAAUUUUCAUAAAGGGGGAAAAUAGCAACUACAGAAGAUAACACCUACUGGAGAUAUAACAGUUCCACCAACAGUAAAAUCCUUCUUUUCUUUUUUCAGCAUUACUAGUAAUAACAGAUAGGAUAACAUCUAAAUUGUGCAUCAGCACUUCAAGCUACUAAUAACAGUAUGUCAUAGGCAGAAUUUAAGUUCCAACUACAAGGAUUAACAAUGAUAUGAUGAAACUUGUCACCAGAAUUUUAAAUCUAAAGUACAUGGAAUCCACAAACUCACUCAGGU